rnacentral:rRNA from 1 species
AUGGGUUCCUCAUCCAGUUCUGGCCCUCAAAAGCGCCGGGUGUGGGUGCCUAACACUGCCCUGCCACCCAGGUUCACACCAAGACCAUCCUAUCAGGCGCCUCGCCCAGCCCAGCAGUAUGCACCAGCCAAGCCCUAUGGUGGACCAACCAGCAAUACACCUCCACGCACCAGCUCUGUGACGUGCUUCAAGUGUGGGGAACCAGGCCACUACAUGCGAGAGUGUCCCCAGACCAACCCCAACCAGUCUGGAAAGGCUGUUGGCCGUGGCAAGCCAACAGGGAAGGUGUACUACGCUAAGCCGGCCACCGCUGCACGUGACCAUGUGAACUGUGUCUCAGCUGAAGAGGCUCAGGAGGAUCCUAACGUCGUUCUUGGUUCUGCCCUCGAGGAGUAUCGCGAAUAUCCUAACGAGGAGCACUACCAGUCCACGGACCCGCAAGAAGACACUGCAACUCCUUCUGAUGGGUUCUUCAUAGACGUCGAUGUCGACGAGUAG